rnacentral:rRNA from 1 species
UACGGAGGGUGCAAGCGUUAAUCGGAAUUACUGGGCGUAAAGCGUGCGUAGGUGGUUCGUUAAGUCCGUUGUGAAAGCCCCGAGCUCAACUUGGGAAUUGCAGUGGAUACUGGCGAGCUGGAGUGCGGUAGAGGAAGGUGGAAUUCCCGGUGUAGCGGUGAAUGCGUAGAGAUCGGGAGGAACACCAGUGGCGAAGGCGGCCUUCUCGGACCAGCAUGACACUCAAGCACGAAAGCGUGG